GCCGGGAGGCAUCUAUGACUCACCGCAGAAGUGGGCAGUCUCAGCUUCAGGGAGAGUGGAAGCCACUCGGCAGCAGAGAUGACGCAGCUCAGGUAAAGAGUGUGCGGAGGGAAGCCCACUGAGAUGGAGGUGAAGACAGAAGGCAGGGGAUGGGUCCCCGGUGAGACAGGAGCUCAGCAAUAAAACUACUGGGGGAGAGGAUGGUGCGGGAGCUGUGGCAUUCUGGGAGAAUCCUUGAUCUCCCCGACCUGGAGUGAUGCUCAGUUCCGCCCAUGACCUCAGAAACAGCUGAUACAGUGCAACUGUUCGAAGGUUCUGGACUGAAGCAGCACUCUCCCUGCUAAUGCCAUGGCUCCAGAGCCGAGAUGGACGGAGAGGGCCUCCCCUGAUGGUACACAGUCGGACUCACUGUUCCAGGUACAUCAGAAGUUGUCAUGACGUGACUGUAGAGGAGGCGCACCCUGUUCGGUGAUGUUUUCUGUAACUUCCGGGGGUUCCAACAGUGAAGCACACACAUUCUUUCACCCAGGCAUGUGUUUAACCUGUUCAACAGGAUCAGUGCAGAAUCCAAAGUCCGUUUUUUUCUACUCAUGUUCUUUGUUCCCUUGAGAAAUGAAACAUUAAAGACAGAACAUCAGCUUCACGAGACUCAGAACCUGACCCCCAACUCGAAUCCAAAGGCUUCCCACAGAGUAGGUACCAGCAUUGCAGUACUCUGGGGCAGGAGGGUACAAGAAAGGUUAUUUCUCAUGGCUUUGAUUGAAACCACAAUGAAACUGCUGAUGAAAGGUGAAUAUAGGUAAAAAUACCUAUCAGAAGGAAAGGAAAAGUCUCCAAUUUAAAGUUUGGUCUCAGAUCCAAAAUGAUCUGUCUUAUAGCAAUCGUCCUGUGGCUAUAAAAAUCCUACUAGCUUAAAGAGCUUCUCCUCAACCCAGAUGUCAGGAGAACACAACGUAAAAGAAGCCCCCACCUUGCCAUUUCAGCAGACACGGACUGGGUGGGUGGAGGCCAAGCCCAGGUAUUCAUGGUCACUGUGCAAGCCGACCUUGCACAUUCUGAACAGACUCCAAAGGUUCUGAUUCAGGUGAUCCUGUUAUAAUUGGAUGCCAAGGCAUAAAACUCGAAUGUGAUGGAUUGUCUCAGAGUCGAUGCCAACUUUGCCGGGCGUGUUGUGGAUCUUGCAACAUGAAUGGAUUUAUGCUACAGAGUUUGACAGCUGUGGCGCCAGAAGAUAAACAGAAUUACAAGAUCAUUCAUGAAAGCUGAUCUUGCUGGCAAAACAGGAGAACACAAGGCUGGCCAAGUUCUUUCAAGAUCAGACAGGUACUGACAAUGGCUUGAUCUUGGAUGCUCCGAGAUGCCCCUCCACCAGGAGUCAGCCCCUGAGAGAGCGGCAGCCCAGAGCAGCCAACUCCAUGUCAUGGCUGUCAGGUGCCUAGAGGCCCCAGUCAUCACAAGGUGGUUGGCUCAUCAGCAAAGCAUCACACUCCUGAGGACAAGCUACCAGCAAGGAAACUGAAGACCUACGGGGCGUUCUCUGCUCCAGAGAGUGAAGAGAUAACCAUGGACUAGCUUGAGCAAUAUGGCCGCUAAUAGAGAAAGAAAUUUGUUCAAGUGCAACUCAUUCAAGCUUGGCAUGGAUUAUAAAGAAAGACUAUUCUGGGACAACCUGAAAUAGAUUUAAAUUAGACAAAAAAAAUUCAUAAUAAAACAUUUGUAUAUUUGAAGCUUGUAUUUGGAGCUUGAGGAAAGAAAUCUUUUUCCG